rnacentral:lncRNA from 1 species
CUGAAACUCUAUAUGGUCCAAUACGACGAUAUACUUUGGCCGGGCCCGGCCCGACUCGACUGAAUUGACCAAUUGAUGUGGCCCUCCAAAAUGGACUCGUUUUACUUCUACCCAAUCAAAAUCUAAAGCCGAAAACCCAGAUUUGGGAAUUGAAAGCUAGUCAGAAACAGUGCGUGUAAUCACUUCCUAAAACCCUAAAGCUGAAAAAAUCCUGAUUUGGAGGAAUUGAUACAAGACUGUUGUUUUUCUGUGUUAAAAGUGGAUUCGAUCAUUACCAGCUCGGAUCAUUGGCUAGACUUUCAUUUCUCAAUUCGUAAAUUCCUUCGUCUAUUUCUCUUUUCACACACGCAAAGAUUAUAUUUAUAUAUGCAUUUGUACGUGUCACAUGUGGGUGCUUAAUAAUCACGGAUGCUUGCAGAUUUGUUCGAUUUGACUACUUAUAUAUAGUUUGUAUGUGUAUAAGUUUUGUGAACGAUAUUACCUUUGCGAUUGAGAUGAUAAAUUAUUUGGAUUCUAUUUCAGGGCGAAUCAACCGAACUGGAACUUUUCGGAGUUGUUUUGGAUUUAGUGAAUAACGUGUUGAUAUAAAAACUGGAUGGUGGUGAUUGAUGAAUUGGAUUGUAGAUCAACUUGAGUUAUAGAGAUUUAGAAAAUUAACUAAGGUGCAAUUGGAAAAAAGAAAGACCAAUAAAUGCCUUUUGUGUUGUUUGUGUUAAGUACAUUGAAUUUAAGAGCCUAUUGUGUAAAGUCACAAGUAGCCAAAUCGGAUGGAACACGUUCUGCAAAAGUAUUAUCUCAUUAUAUACUUAAGGAGAGAAUAUUUGGCAUUUCUUAGAGAACUCUGUUAGUCAAAUUCAGUCACUAGCUAAUUCUGAAUCAGCUCAUAGCAUAAGUGAUCAGCAGCCUAAAUGAUACAUGUGAUGGGAUCGCUAAAAAGAAAAAUUCAGGCGAUGGAACUGAUGAAGUUCUUAGACAUGCUGACCAGAUGAUCCUUUUCGCUUUUCUUAGAACUCAUGACCUGGUUACUACAGUCAUCUGUCCAUUAGUUUUUUCUAAAGUUGUAUGCAUUGUCAUUCUAGGAUUAGUGCUGUGUGUCUUGCUGCAAAGUAUUGCACCUAUUUAUAUUUUUCUUGCAGAGUGUGUCAAUAUUAACCACAAAAAGUCUAAGCAAUUAUAUUAGGCACGUUAUUACUUGAAACACAGAAGUGCUUCAGAGUCGUGAACAAAGUGGAUUCAUACGUUUCUGUGAAAGUUUAACUGACACGUUAAAGGCAAUCUUCAUCUCACCUGGCUGGUAUUCUGGACAGCCUCAGUAAAUUGCUGCUUCCAUAGCUUGAGUAAAUGGGUUUCAAUUCGUUGUUGAUGAAUAUUUCACACGGACAUUUGAAAAUUCGUCGGUAUAUUUAAAAUCCAGUAAUUACCUAUAAAUUCAGUAUUGGCUACAUGUUGGUAACCGUUAGACCUCUAAGUUACCUAGACCUUUGGCUGUCUUUCUAUGUCUUAUUAUUUUCAAAUUUUGUCAUAUAAAUUGUACUCGGUUAGAGUUUGUCUGCAGGAGAUAAAGUUCGUCUUUUGAUCAUUUAUGUGUUCUCCUUGUCCAUGUAAGUUCAGCUGAAUUGAAGUUUCUCUACUAAUUUGAUCACGUUAAAAACUUGCAGACAUUUAGACGUGGAAGCAGAAGGCCAUCAUAUUAGUGAUGCCUCUUGACAGCGUAAUAACUUCACCUCAUAGGAGGUCGCAGACACAGACUGUUUUCUCUUCACCAUCAUUUAAAAGAGAGAACUCCUCACGGGAUGACGAAUUAGGAAGCUGUUCAACUCUUCUUCAGCGACACCGAUUCCUUCUAACUGCUCUUGCUCUCCUAGCAUUUCUCUGCUCUGUAUAUCUGUACUUUGCUGUCACUCUGGGGGCUCGUGAUUCGUGCACUGAAAUGACGGGGGCACAAAAAGCAUCGUGUCGUUUGCAGCAAGUAAAGGCAUCUGUGUCAAAGGGUAAACUAAAAGUCUUCUAGCCUAUAUUAGUUUUUGACUUUCUUCUUGGAGGCUAGAGCUGAAGUAGUUUGGAAUACUUGAUAGUUUCAUUGGGCUCUCUCUCAAGCUCAUUGAUUUUGAUGUACAUUAGGAAGUUGUAAUGGAAAAUUACAUGACAUUAGCGAACAGGUAUGUUCGAAUUUGUGGAAAAUGAAACUACGGGCUUGAUCGAACCCUUGAUUAUAUUUUAACACACAGCCACAUUGGGAGUGAUUAUAAUCGA